UGGCCAGGGUGGGCGCCCAAGGGGGGAGGGCGGGCGCCCUGCCCCCGAGCCCGUCCGGUCUCCCGUUCGUUCCCGUGGCUUCUGGACUCUUCUAGAUUGAGGAAAAUUGCGCGGCACGUAAUUAUCUCGUUGUAAACAUGACAUGUGGGCCUUCUCUCCAUAUUCUCUGAUAACCCCCUGCAGAAAUAGAUAAACACCAAAGCUCGUGGAAGAUAAAACCCUAAUUCUAGAUGUUUGGUGCAUAUUGAUCCUUUUCCAUGUUUAUUUGAUUGUUAAUUUUAGUACUUAAGGACCGUCAACAAUGUGUACGAGCCCAUGCACAAUCAAAAAUCAAUUAUUUUCCUUUGUGUGGCCA
rnacentral:lncRNA from 1 species